rnacentral:rRNA from 1 species
UACGAGAGGUGCAAGCGUUGUUCGGAAUGACUGGGCGUAAAGCGCACGUAGGCGGAUUCGCAAGUAGGAUGUGAAAGCCCCAGGCUCAACCUGGGAAUGGCACCCUAAACUACGGAUCUUGAAUGCUUGAGAGGUUGGUGGAAUUCCUGGUGUAGGAGUGAAAUCCGUAGAUAUCAGGAGGAAUAUCGGAGGCGAAGGCGGGUCUCUGGGCCGAAACUGACGCUGAGGAGCGAAAGCGUGGGGAGCGAACAGG